AUGGGCGGGAUUAUAAAGAAGCGAAGUCGGCCCUCGGUCCAGUAGGCUUAGUUGGCCUCAGCCCCAAUCCAAAGUCCAGGCUUGCAUUAAUUGCGACGUGACGUCCCACAUCGUAAACAACGAAGAAUUUUUUCUUCUUCUUGUAAGCGAGCGUCGAACGAGCGUUUCGUCUCUUCGGAGACAUCCGAUAAAAUUGGAACGAUACAGAGAAGAUUAGCAUGGCCCCUGCGCAAGGAUGACACGCAUAAAUCGAGAAAUGGUCCAAAUUUUUUCGACUUUUGCCGUAUACGCCGGCGGCUCUUCUGGUUUUUUUAUAUUUAUAUUUUUAUUUUUUAAAUUCUCGUUCAUCAACUGCUUCCGUCGUUUCAAUGUUCUUCAGGAUUGCCCAGUUCCACACCUGGAAUAAGGAUCUUCAGAUCUUUUUUACCAGUCUAUGAAUUGAAAACUGUGAUUUACUUGGAGCUGUGUGAUUUUGGGACAUCCAAAUUUUCUUGGGACAAAAAUGAUAGUUGGAUUCAAAUUUCUUAGCUACCACCUCUGCCACCCCUCAGAGACUGUAAGAUGCUGCUGUGCUGCCGGUGUUGUUUUAUGUAAAUAUAUGGUUGCAAUUUCUGUUUAUAGGAGCCAUGUGAACUGUUGAACUUAUUGUAUGUUUCUAUAUUCAGAUAUUCAUUGAGCCUUUUGAUUGGGAAGACCAUUCAUUAUAGAA